rnacentral:lncRNA from 14 species
CCCCGGUACCGCUCACGGUUCCUCCGCCGGCCGAUCCGUUCUCCCCGCAGACCGGUCUCCAGCCGCCGCCGCGCCCGGGCAGCUCCGUGAGUCGCCUCCCACCGUCGCCGUCCCCGGGGGCGCUCGGUAACGGGACGGGGCGGCCGCUGCCCCCGCCCCGCGGCUGCUCAGGGUGAACCGGCAGGAUCCGAGCCCCCCCCCGCUCCCUGUGUGGUCCUUCCCUCCCAUCUCCAGCUCUGCUUGAUCCACGUGAAACAAAAGAUUCCCAAGUUCCCCGGUGUAUCAUGCUGAAGUGGGAAGACUGGGCCUGGGAAGAGUGGUUCUGAUUGACUUCACCUCCUCCAGCAGAGAAACCACUGCAGCUCUUCCAGUCAUGUUGAAGCUGGGACCACAGUGAGGAGGCCAAGGGGCAGAAGUCAGAAUGGAUGUUUCCUCUCCCCACA